UAUUAUAUAGGGAGAUAUAUCGAGUUGCACGUCAGGGAAGGGAACUUGGAGGUUCACCGCAGGGUAAUACAAGUUAUAUAUCAAGGAUUAGAUAACACAAGUUACACAUUAUAGGCAGGGUACAGAAAGUUAUAGAUAACAGAUUCAAUCAGGCACAUUAGACGUAGAGGGUUUAGUAGGGCGAGUUGCACAUGGAGGAUUUCAUCAUGCCCGUUGUAGGUAGAGAGAUUGGUCACCCCCAUUAUCGGUUCCGGGUUAACAGCGUAACACAAGUUAUAGAUCCGGGGCAGGAUAACACAACUCCCAACUCGGUUCGAAAUGAUUCAGGUGAGUGACCAGUAAGUUUAACACAGAUACCCCAUAACUUUAAAGCAAGUGGCCGAUAACUUUAACGCAAGUACACCAUAACUUUAACCCAAGUGGCCAGUAAGUUUGACACGAGUAGCCAGUAACUUUAACGCAAGUACACCAUAACUUUAACCCAAGUGGCCAGUAAGUUUGACACGAGUAGCCAGUAACUUUAACCCAAGUGGCCAGUAACUUUAACCCAAGUGGCCAGUAACUUUAACGCGAGUAGCUGGUAAGUUUAACCCAGAUGCGCCGGUAACCCAACUUGCACAUAAAGGGUAGGAUAACGCAACUUAGACGUAAAGGCAGGGUAACGCAACUUAUUAGAACAGAGAAAGGUAACGCAACUUGGACGUAAAGGGGCAGAGUAAGCCAACUUCCAACUCGAUCAGAAAUGGUUAAUGCGAGUGGCUGGUAACUUUAACCCAGGUGCCCCGUAACUUUAACGCGAGUGGCCAGUAACUUUAACGCGAGUGGCCAGUAACUUUAACCCAGGUGCGCCGGUAACCCAACUUGCACGUAAAGGGGAGAGUAACGCAACUUGGUAGGAGAGGGUAGAGUAACCCAACUUGGUAGGAGAGGGCAGGGUCACCCAACUUGUUAGGAGAGGGGAGGGUAAGCCAACUUGUUAGGAGAGGGCAGGGUAACCCAACUUGGUAGGAGAGGGGAGGAUAACCCAACUUGGUAGGAGAGGGGAGGGUAACCCAACUUGUUAGGAGAGGGUUAAGGUUAUAACCGCUAACACUUAUUUUAAAUGUCGGUGAUAUAACCGCCAUUUAUUUUUGCUAACAAACACUAGUGUGGUGCU
rnacentral:lncRNA from 1 species